GUGCCUAACACAUGCAAGUCGAACGAGAAAGUGGAGCAAUCCAUGAGUACAGUGGCGACCGGGUGAGUAACACGUGACUAACCUACCUUCGAGUGGGGGAUAACUCCGGGAAACCGGAGCUAAUACCGCAUAACAUCGCAAGAUCAAAGCAGCAAUGCGCUUGGAGAGGGGGUCGCGGCUGAUUAGCUAGUUGGCGGGGUAACGGCCCACCAAGGCGAAGAUCGGUAUCCGGCCUGAGAGGGCGCACGGACACACUGGAACUGAAACACGGUCCAG
rnacentral:rRNA from 1 species